CCCUUCGUAGUGUAAUGGUAGAGCACUCGGCGCGUAUUCGAGAGGUCCAGGUUCAAGUCCUGGCGAGAGCA
rnacentral:tRNA from 1 species